CUGUGGUCAGGUAGAGAAUACCAAGGCGAUCGGGUGAACUGUGGUUAAGGAACUCGGCAAAUUGCCCCCGUAACUUCGGGAGAAGGGGGGCCUCCGCUGGUGAUCAGACUUGCUUUGUGAGCUGGUGGGGGUCGCAGAGGCCAGGGGGAAGCGACUGUUUACUAAAAACACAGGUCCGUGCGAAGUCGUAAGACGAUGUAUACGGACUGACGCCUGCCCGGUGCUGGAACGUUAAGGGGACCGGUUAGCGCACUUCGGUGUGCGAGGCUGAGAACUUAAGCGCCAGUAAACGGCGGUGGUAACUAUAACCAUCCUAAGGUAGCGAAAUUCCUUGUCGGGUAAGUUCCGACCUGCACGAAUGGCGUAACGACUUCCCCGCUGUCUCAACCGCAGACCCGGCGAAAUUGCACUACGAGUAAAGAUGCUCGUUACGCGCAGCAGGACGGAAAGACCCCGGGACCUUCACUACAGCUUGACAUUGGCGUUUGGAACGUCUUGUGUAGGAUAGGUGGGAGACUGUGAAGCUGUCACGCUAGUGGCGGUGGAGUCAUUGGUGAAAUACCACUCUGGUCGUUUUGAACGUCUAACUUCGGUCCGUGAUCCGGAUCAGGGACAGUGUCUGGUGGGUAGUUUAACUGGGGCGGUUGCCUCCUAAAGAGUAACGGAGGCGCCCAAAGGUUCCCUCAGCCUGGUUGGUAAUCAGGUGUCGAGUGUAAGUGCACAAGGGAGCUUGACUGUGAGACCGACGGGUCGAGCAGGAGCGAAAGCUGGGACUAGUGAUCCGGCGGUGGCAUGUGGAAGCGCCGUCGCUCAACGGCUAAAAGGUACCCCGGGGAUAACAGGCUGAUCUUCCCCAAGAGUCCAUAUCGACGGGAUGGUUUGGCACCUCGAUGUCGGCUCGUCGCAUCCUGGGGCUGGAGUAGGUCCCAAGGGUUGGGCUGUUCGCCCAUUAAAGCGGUACGCGAGCUGGGUUUAGAACGUCGCGAGACAGUUCGGUCCCUAUCCGCUGCGCGCGCAGGAGACUUGAAAGGAGCUGUCCCUAGUACGAGAGGACCGGGACGGACGAACCUCUGGUGUGCCAGUUGUUCCGCCAGGAGCAUGGCUGUUGGCUACGUUCGGAAGGGAUAACCGCCGAAAGCAUCUAAGCGGGAAGCUCGCCUUGAGAUGAGGUCUCCCACCACGUGAGUGGGUAAGGCCCCCGGGAGACGACCGGGUUGAUAGGCCGGAGGUGGAAGCAUGGUAACGUGUGGAGCUGACCGGUACUAAUAGGCCGAGGACUUGACCU
rnacentral:rRNA from 1 species